GGCGUAAUGGUUGUAAGCGACCCGUCUUGAAACACGGACCAAGGAGUCUAACAUCUAUGCGAGUGUUUGGGUGUCAAACCCAUGCGCGUAAUGAAAGUGAACGGAGGUGGGAACCCUUAAGGGUGCACCAUCGACCGAUCCUGAUGUCUUCGGAUGGAUUUGAGUAAGAGCAUAGCUGUUGGGACCCGAAAGAUGGUGAACUAUGCCUGAAUAGGGUGAAGCCAGAGGAAACUCUGGUGGAGGCUCGCAGCGGUUCUGACGUGCAAAUCGAUCGUCAAAUUUGGGUAUAGGGGCGAAAGACUAAUCGAACCAUCGAGUUGCUAGGUGGUCAAGAGGCGGCUAAGAGUGACCGUCUAGUCCUGCUCCCCAGGGCAACAUCGCCAAAUUGCGGGGACGUCCUAAAGGCGCUGCUACCAAACAGGUGUGGAAACACGACCUGUGGCCGGGGUAAUGACCUAGGGUAUGGUAAAAACGCAGCGCAUGAUCUCGUCUGCGACGGGUGAAAUGGAUAAUCCGCAGCCAAGUCCUACGUCCUUCGAUGGAUACGGAUGCAGUUCACAGACUAAAUGGUGAUGGGUCUGACCUACGGGUCGGGCUUAAGAUAUAGUCGGGCCCCCCAGAGAUGGGGCCGGCGAGAGGAGGUCGUCGAGGAGCGGGAGGUGCCCCCCGGGUGGGACACGCCUCGCCGACCAGAGCUU
rnacentral:rRNA from 1 species